CAAUAGCGUAUAUUAAAGUUGUUGCAGUUAAAAAGCUCGUAGUUGGAUUUGUGGCGUACGGUGUGUUCCGGGCACUUGUUGUCUGAGUAACCUGCUGUUGCCAUCCUUGGGUGGAACCUGUGUGGCAUUAGGUUGUCGUGCAGGGGAUGCCCAUCAUUUACUGUGAAAAAAUUAGAGUGUUCAAAGCAGGCUUAUGCCGUUGAAUAUAUUAGCAUGGAAUAAUGAGAUAGGACUUUCUUGCUAUUUUGUUGGUUUGCGCAAAGAGGUAAUGAUUAAUAGGGACAGUUGGGGGUAUUCGUAGUCCAUUGUCAGAGGUGAAAUUCUUGGAUUUUUGGAAGACGAACUACUGCGAAAGCAUUUACCAAGGAUGUUUUCAUUAA
rnacentral:rRNA from 1 species